rnacentral:rRNA from 1 species
GACGAACGCUGGCGGCGUGCUUAACACAUGCAAGUCGAACGGAAAGGCCCUGCUUUUGUGGGGUGCUCGAGUGGCGAACGGGUGAGUAACACGUGAGUAACCUGCCCUUGACUUUGGGAUAACUUCAGGAAACUGGGGCUAAUACCGGAUAGGAGCUCCUGCUGCAGGGUGGGGGUUGGAAAGUCUCGGCGGUUGGGGCUGGACUCGCGGCUUAUCAGCUUGCUGGUGGGGUAGUGGCUUACCAAGGCUUUGACGGGUAGCCGGCCUGAGAGGGUGACCGGCGUCAUUGGGACUGCGAUACGGCCCAGACUCCUACGGGAGGCAGCAGUGGGGAAUAUUGCACAAUGGGCGGAAGCCUGAUGCAGCAACGCCGCGUGCGGGAUGACGGCCUUCGGGUUGUGAACCGCUUUCGCCUGUGACGAAGCGUGAGUGACGGUAAUGGGUAAAGAAGCACCGGCUAACUACGUG